CUACGGGUGGCUGCAGUGGGGGAUAUUGCACAAUGGGCGAAAGCCUGAUGCAGCAACGCCGCGUGAAGGAAGACGGUUUUCGGAUUGUAAACUUCUAUCAGCUGGGAAGAAAAUGACGGUACCAGACUAAGAAGCCCCGGCUAACUAUGUGCCAGACAGCCGCGGUAAUACAUAGGGGGCAAGCGUUAUCCGGAAUUACUGGGUGUAAAGGGUACGUAGGCGGCUGAUCAAGUCAGAUGUGAAAGCCCGGAGCUCAACUCCGGGAUUGCAUUUGAAACUGGUCGGCUAGAGUGCAGGAGAGGAAAGUGGAAUUCCUAGUGUAGCGGUGAAAUGCGUAGAUAUUAGGAAGAACACCAGUGGCGAAGGCGGCUUUCUGGACUGUAACUGACGCUGAGGUACGAAAGCGUGGGGAGCGAACAGGAUUAGAUACCCGGGUAGUC
rnacentral:rRNA from 1 species